rnacentral:rRNA from 1 species
GACAGAGGGUGCAAACGUUGUCCGGAUUUACUGGGCGUAAAGAGCGCGCAGGCGGUCGUUCAAGUCGCGUGUGAAAGCCCCCGGCUCAACUGGGGAGGGUCACGCGAUACUGAUCGACUCGAAGGCAGGAGAGGGAAGUGGAAUUCCCGGUGUAGUGGUGAAAUGCGUAGAUAUCGGGAGGAACACCAGUGGCGAAGGCGACUUCCUGGCCUGUUCUUGACGCUGAGGCGCGAAAGCUAGGGGAGCAAACGGG